rnacentral:rRNA from 1 species
GACGAACGCUGGCGGCGUGCCUAAUACAUGCAAGUCGAACGCUGAAGGAGGAGCUUGCUUCUCUGGAUGAGUUGCGAACGGGUGAGUAACGCGUAGGUAACCUGCCUGGUAGCGGGGGAUAACUAUUGGAAACGAUAGCUAAUACCGCAUAAGAGUAGAUGUUGCAUGACAUUUGCUUAAAAGGUGCAAUUGCAUCACUACCAGAUGGACCUGCGGUGUAUUAGCUAGUUGGUGGGGUAACGGCCCACCAAGGCGACGAUACAUAGCCGCCCUGAGAGGGGGAACGGCCAGACUGGGAGUGAGACAGGGCCCAGAGUGCUAGGGGAAGCGGCAGUAGGGAAUCUGCGGAAAGGAACGGAAGACUGAGCGAGCAACGCGGCGGGAGGGAAGAGGGGUGUCGGAUCGGAAAGCUCGGUUGUCAGAGAAGAAAGAGUGUGAGAGUGGAAAGUUCACACUGUGACGGUAGCUGACAAGAAAGCGACGGCUAACUACGUG